rnacentral:rRNA from 1 species
CCUACGGGAGACAGCAGUGAGGAAUAUUGGUCAAUGGUCGGGAGACUGAACCAGCCAAGCCGCGUGAGGGAUGAAGGUACUGAGUAUCGUAAACCUCUUUUGUCAGGGAACAAAGUCGGGGACGUGUGCCCGGAUGAGUGUACCUGAAGAAAAAGCAUCGGCUAACUCCGUGCCAGCAGCCGCGGUAAUACGGAGGGUCCGGGCGUUAUCCGGAUUUAUUGGGUUUAAAGGGAGCGUAGGUGGAAUGUUAAGUCAGUUGUGAAAGUUAGCGGCUCAACCGUAACAUUGCAGUUGAAACUGGCAGUCUUGAGUGCGCUAGAGGUAGGCGGAAUUCGUGGUGUAGCGGUGAAAUGCUUAGAUAUCACGAAGAACUCCGAUUGCGAAGGCAGCACACUGGAGUGCAACUGACGCUGAUGCUCGAAAGCGUGGGGAGCGAACAGGAUUAGAUACCCUGGUAGUC